UGGCUCAGUGGUAGAGUACUUGCCUCACAUGCAUGAGGCCCUGAGUUCAAUUCCUCAG
rnacentral:tRNA from 1 species